rnacentral:rRNA from 1 species
GAUGAACGCUAGCGGGAGGCCUAACACAUGCAAGCCGAGCGGUAGAGUUUCUUCGGAAACUUGAGAGCGGCGUACGGGUGCGGAACACGUGUGCAACCUGCCUUUAUCUGGGGGAUAGCCUUUCGAAAGGAAGAUUAAUACCCCAUAAUAUAUUGAUUGGCAUCAAUUAAUAUUGAAAACUCCGGUGGAUAGAGAUGGGCACGCGCAAGAUUAGAUAGUUGGUGAGGUAACGGCUCACCAAGUCAGUGAUCUUUAGGGGGCCUGAGAGGGUGAUCCCCCACACUGGUACGGAGACACGGACCAGACUCCUACGGGAGGCAGCAGUGAGGAAUAUUGGACAAUGGGUAAGAGCCUGAUCCAGCCAUCCCGCGUGAAGGACGACGGCCCUAUGGGUUGUAAACUUCUUUUGUAUAGGGAUAAACCUACCCUCGUGAGGGUAGCUGAAGGUACUAUACGAAUAAGCACCGGCUAACUCCGUGCCAGCAGCCGCGGUAACAC